UAACUAAUGUAUAUCUUCUUCUGUCUGUCUAAUAUUUUAAAAGGGGGUGAAGUUCUGACUUGGUUGUGGAGUCUGUCACCAACAGCUUUAUAACUUGGAGUAAAUUACUUGACCUCAGAGCUUCAGAUCCGUCAUUUAUGCAGUGGGGAAAUACUAAGAUCUUCAUUGUAUAGUCAUCAGGAUGAAAUGAGAUAACUUCUAGUGACAUGAUCCCAUAUGCAGAAUGUCACAGAGGGGAAACUAGUUAGGGAAAGAGUGCUUUCUGUUCCAUUUUCUCUCGAAAGCAGCCAGUCUAGUGUUCAGAUAUUUUCACCUUCUCUUUCCAAUGGCAUUUUCAAUAGCGUUUUUAAUAGUAUUUGAAAGAAUUAGUUGGUAUAUAUAUGUUUGUUGUGACACAAACCAAACAUCCUUUCCUUUUCCUUUGAUUCUGCUUUUCUUGCAAAUAGAACUGUUUGAAGCAGGAUGAUACCCUAGGAAUUAGGAUGGCAUAUGCUUUUGUAUUUGGAAAUUGUAAACAAAGAACAAAGCACAAAAGUUAUUACUUAUUCUCCAUUUGUAGCAUGUCCAUUGCUGGUGGCUACGCAGAUUUGGGGCUUGCAGCCUCUAUGUAAAAACUUCAAGAUUCUCAAUCGUGAACUCUAUAAUUGCCUGAACUAUAAAUAAUUCCUUCUGUGAAAGGAUUGCCACGUCAGC
rnacentral:lncRNA from 1 species